UCCCUAGUAACUGCGAGUGAAGAGGGAAAAGCUCAAAUUUAAAAUCUGGCAGCCUCGCUGUCCGAGUUGUAAUUUAGAGAAGUGUUACCCGCGUUGGACCGUGUAUAAGUCUCCUGGAAUGGAGCGUCAUAGAGGGUGAGAAUCCCGUCUUUGACACGGACUCCCAAGGCAUUGUGGUGCGCUCUCGAAGAGUCGAGUUGUUUGGGAAUGCAGCUCUAAAUGGGUGGUAAAUUCCAUCUAAAGCUAAAUAUUGGCGAGAGACCGAUAGCGAACAAGUACCGUGAGGGAAAGAUGAAAAGAACUUUGGAAAGAGAGUUAAACAGUACGUGAAAUUGCUGAAAGGGAAACGCUUGAAGUCAGUCGCGUUGGCCGGGGAUCAGCCUUGCUUUUGUGAGGUGUACUUCCUGGUUGACGGGUCAGCAUCAAUUUCGACCACUGGAAAAGGAUUUGGGGAAUGUGGCACCUCCGGGUGUGUUAUAGCCUCUUGUCGUAUACAGUGGUUGGGAUUGAGGAACUCAGCACGCCGUAAGGCCGGGUUUCGACCACGUUCGUGCUUAGGAUGCUGGCAAAAUGGCUUUAAGCGACCCGUCUUGAAACACGGACCAAGGAGUCUAACAUGCCUGCGAGUGUUUGGGUGGAAAACCCGAGCGCGUAAUGAAAGUGAAAGUUGGGAUCUCUGUCGUGGAGAGCACCGACGCCCGGACCUGAUGUUUACUGACGGAUCUGCGGUAGAGCAUGUAUGUUGGGACCCGAAAGAUGGUGAACUAUGCCUGAAUAGGGUGAAGCCAGAGGAAACUCUGGUGGAGGCUCGUAGCGAUUCUGACGUGCAA
rnacentral:rRNA from 1 species